rnacentral:snRNA from 1 species
AUGCUCCACUGGCGGGAAAGACGCCACAAGAAAGUGGUUUUCCCAGGGUGAGGCUCAUUCAUUUCAUUCCAGGUGUUCUGACCCCCACGGUUUUCCCAAGUGUGGGAGAUUCAACUGCGUAAUUUAUGGUUAUGGGGGACCGUUUUCCCCGG